rnacentral:rRNA from 1 species
AUUGAACGCUGGCGGCCGGCCUAACACAUGCAAGUCGAACGAGUGGCGGACGGGUGAGUAAUGUCUGGGAAACUGCCUGAUGGAGGGGGAUAACUACUGGAAACGGUAGCUAAUACCGCAUACCAUCAGAUGUGCCCAAGUGGGAUUAGCUUGUUGGUGGGGUAACGGCUAACCAUGGCCACGAUCCCUAGCUGGUCUGAGAGGAUGACCAGCCACCCGGGACCGGAGCAACGGUCCAGACUCCUACGGGAGGCAUCAGUGGGGAAUAUUGCACAAUGGGCGCAAGCCGAAGGCAGCCAUGCCGCGUGUAUGAAGAGGGCCUUCGGGUGGUAAAGUACUUUCAGCGGGUAGGCGUUACCCGCAGAAGAAGCACCGGCUAACUCCGUGCCAGCAGCCGCGGUAAUUC